UGUGUAGGCGGGAAAGUAAGCGUCUUGUGAAAGCCCUCGGCUUAACCGAGGAAUCGCUUGGCGAACUGCUUUUCUUGAGGCAAGUAGGGGUGCAUGGAACUCUUGGUGGAGCGGUGGAAUGCGUAGAUAUCAAGAGGAACGCCGAUGGUGAAGACAAUGCACUGGGCUUGUUCUGACGCUGAGACACGAAAGCGUGGGGAGCGAACG
rnacentral:rRNA from 1 species